rnacentral:pre_miRNA from 1 species
UCUUACGGAUGAGCAAAAAAAGUGGUUUCUUUAGGUGGAAUCUACUGGUGGUUAAAAUGCUAUGAG